GACGAACGCUGGCGGCGUGUCUAAUACAUGCAAGUCGAACGCAGUGGGGACGGGUGAGUAACACGUGGGUAACCUCCCAUCAGAGGGGAUAACACUUGGAAACAGGUGCUAAACCGAUAUUGAUGGAUGAACCCGCGGUGCAUUAGCUAGUUGGUGGGGUAACGGCUCACCAAGGCCACGAUCCAUAGCCGGCCUGAGAGGGUGAUCGGCCACACUGGGACGGAGACACGGCCCAGACUCCUACGGGAGGCAGCAGUAGAGAAUCUUGGGCAAUGGACGAAAGGCUGACCGAGCAACGCCGCGUGGGUGAAGAAGGUUUUCGGAUCGUAAAGCUCUGUUAGUAGGGAAGCGGUAUCUAACGAAAAAGCCACGGCUAACUACGUGCCAGCAGCCGCGGUAAUUC
rnacentral:rRNA from 1 species